CCUACGGGUGGCAGCAGUGGGGAAUAUUGGACAAUGGGCGAAAGCCUGAUCCAGCCAUGCCGCGUGUGUGAAGAAGGCCUUCGGGUUGUAAAGCACUUUCAGUGGGGAAGAAAGCCUUGGGGCUAAUACCCUCGAGGAAGGACAUCACCCACAGAAGAAGCACCGGCUAACUCCGUGCCAGCAGCCGCGGUAAUACGGAGGGUGCGAGCGUUAAUCGGAAUUACUGGGCGUAAAGCGCGCGUAGGCGGUGCUGAUAAGCCGGUUGUGAAAGCCCCGGGCUCAACCUGGGAACGGCAUCCGGAACUGUCAGGCUAGAGUGCAGGAGAGGAAGGUAGAAUUCCCGGUGUAGCGGUGAAAUGCGUAGAGAUCGGGAGGAAUACCAGUGGCGAAGGCGGCCUUCUGGACUGACACUGACGCUGAGGUGCGAAAGCGUGGGUAGCAAACAGGAUUAGAAACCCGAGUAGUC
rnacentral:rRNA from 1 species